rnacentral:rRNA from 1 species
AUUUCCCCCUUUCUUUAGGCCUAACACAUGCAAGUCGAACGGCAGCACAGUAAGAGCUUGCUCUUACGGGUGGCGAGUGGCGGACGGGUGAGGAAUACAUCGGAAUCUACUUUUUCGUGGGGGAUAACGUAGGGAAACUUACGCUAAUACCGCAUACGACCUACGGGUGAAAGCAGGGGAUCUUCGGACCUUGCGCGAUUGAAUGAGCCGAUGUCGGAUUAGCUAGUUGGCGGGGUAAAGGCCCACCAAGGCGACGAUCCGUAGCUGGUCUGAGAGGAUGAUCAGCCACACUGGAACUGAGACACGGUCCAGACUCCUACGGGAGGCAGCAGUGGGGAAUAUUGGACAAUGGGCGCAAGCCUGAUCCAGCCAUACCGCGUGGGCGAAGAAGGCCUUCGGGUUGUAAAGCCCUUUUGUUGGGAAAGAAAAGCAGCAGGUUAAUACCCCGCUGUUCUGACGGUACCCAAAGAAUAAGCACCGGCUAACUUCGUG